GUACACGCUGUGACUAGCAUAUCAAUAAGCGGAGGAAAAGAAACUAACAAGGAUUCCCCUAGUAACGGCGAGUGAAGCGGGAAGAGCUCAAAUUUGAAAUCUUAAAGGGUUUCCCUUUACGAAUUGUAGUUUAAAGAAGUGUUUUCUGUUGAGGUUUUGGUAAAAGUUCUUUGGAAUAGGACAUCAUAGAGGGUGAGAAUCCCGUAUUUGACCUUUACUUUCAACUUUGUGAUACACUUUCAAAGAGUCGGAUUGUUUGGGAAUGCAGUCCAAAAUGGGUGGUAAAUUUCAUCUAAAGCUAAAUAUUGGCGAGAGACCGAUAGCCGAACAAGUACCGUGAGGGAAAGAUGAAAAGAACUUUGAAAAGAGAGUUAAACAGUACGUGAAAUUGUCAAAAGGGAAGCGUUUGACACCAGUGUUGUUUUUCUGAAAAUCAAUUAAAGAACUGUUUAUGCUAAGUUGUUUAGACUUUAUCAGCUAACUGUUUAGUUUUGAGCUUUCCUUUAAUGCACUUUUCAGUUAACAAGUCAACAUCAAUUUCUUUUGCUGUAAAAAAGCUUGAGGAAGGUGGCUUGAGAUUCGUCUUAAGUGUUUAUAGCCUCUUGCCUAUGCAGUCGGAGAGAUUGAGGUCUGUAGCGUAGAUCCUUCGGGGCUAAAUGCAUUUGUGCUAAGUUAUAGCAUUUCAUAGACAACUUGUUGACUAUGAUUUGUCUUGUAGCUUACUCGCUUAUGUUAUUUUACCUACGCUUAGGAUGUUGAAGUCAUCUAUCGCGC
rnacentral:rRNA from 1 species